rnacentral:rRNA from 1 species
AACGAACGCUGGCGGCAUGCCUAACACAUGCAAGUCGAACGAGACCUUCGGGUCUAGUGGCGCACGGGUGCGUAACGCGUGGGAACCUGCCUUUAGGUUCGGAAUAACUCAGAGAAAUUUGAGCUAAUACCGGAUAAUGUCUUCGGACCAAAGAUUUAUCGCCUUUAGAUGGGCCCGCGUUGGAUUAGCUAGUUGGUGGGGUAAAGGCCUACCAAGGCGACGAUCCAUAGCUGGUCUGAGAGGAUGAUCAGCCACACUGGGACUGAGACAGGCCCAGACUCCUACGGGAGGCAGCAGUGGGGAANAUUGGACAAUGGGCGAAAG